AUUGAACGCUGGCGGCAGGCCUAAAACAUGCACGUCGAACGAUUGGCGGACGGGUGAGUAAUUUCUGGGAAACUGCCCGAUGGAGGGGGAUAACUACUGGAAACGGUAUCUAAUACCGCAUACCAUCGGAUGUGCCCAGAUGGGAUUAGCUAGUAGGUGGGGUAACGGCUCACCUAGGCGGCGAUUCCUAGCUGGUCUAAGAGGAUGACCAGCCACACUAGAACGUAGACACGGUCCAGACUCCUAAGGGAGGCAGCAGGUGGUAAUAUUGCACAAUGGGCGUAAGCCUGAUGAAGCCAUGCCGCGUGUAUGAAGAAGGCCUGCGGGUUGUAAAGUACUGUCAGCGAGGAGGCGUUACUCGCAGAGGAAGCACCGGCUAACUCCGUGCCAGCAGCCGCGGUAAUAC
rnacentral:rRNA from 1 species